GACGAACGCUGGCGGCGUGGAUUAGGCAUGCAAGUCGAACGGUAUCAUCCUUCGGGGGUGAGAGAGUGGCGAACUGGUGAGUAACACGUAGGUUAUCUACCCUCAAGACGGGGACAACCCGGGAAACUUGGGCUAAUACCGGAUGUGAGCAACUUUUAGUUGUUUGAAAGGUGGCGUAAGCUGUCGCUUGGGGAUGAGCCUGCGUCCUAUUAGUUAGUUGGUGAGGUAACGGCUCACCUAGGCAAUGAUAGGUAGGCGGCCUUAACGGGUGGUCGCCCACACUGGGAUUGAGAUACGGCCCAGACUCCUACGGGAGGCAGCAGUCGAGAAUAGUCUACAAUGGUCGGAAGACUGAUAGUGCGACGCCGCGUGAACGAUGAAUCCCUUCGGGGUGUAAAGUUCUUUUAUAUGUGAGCAGUGCUUCUUAUAUUAACAGUAUGGGGAGAGAGAUAUUAGCAUAUGAAUAAGCAACGGCUAACUCCGUG
rnacentral:rRNA from 1 species